CAAAUGAAGGAAUGAACAUAAUUUUCAAAGUCAGUUCCCCUAGGCAAAUAACAGCUGAGGGCAUAAUACUAGAACCAAUAGGUGAGAAGCUAAUUGCUUAUUUUGGUGAUAGAAUGAUAUCUGAAGAAACCCUCAGGAGAAAUUCUGUUAUGCAGAUGGCUGGCAAUCAGGGUAUUAUUGCGUUUACUUAUAGACGAAAUGGA
rnacentral:misc_RNA from 1 species